AAGUAUAAACAGUACGUAGUGUCUUCAACACUAAAGGCCUAACCUA
rnacentral:tRNA from 1 species